rnacentral:RNase_P_RNA from 1 species
AAAGCAGGCCAGGCAGUCGCGGCCUCGCCGUCUUCGGGCGCGCGGGGGCGAGGAAAGUCCGGACUCCACAGGGCAGGGUGAUGGCUAACGGCCAUCCGUGGCGACACGCGGAACAGGGCAACAGAAAGCAAACCGCCGAUGGCCCGGCGCAAGCCGGGAUCAGGUAAGGGUGAAACGGUGCGGUAAGAGCGCACCGCGGCGACGGCGACGUUCGCCGGCACGGUAACCUCCACCCGGAGCAAUUCCAAGUAGGCAGGCGCGCAUUUUCGGAUGCAGGACGGGGCCCCGUCUCGUCUGCGGGUAGGAAGCUUGAGCGCGUCAGCAAUGGCGCGCCUAGAGGAAUGACUGCCACGCGUUGCGUGCUUCGGUGCGCGGCGUGCACAGAAUCCGGCUUAUCGGCCUGCUUUGCCG